GGGCAGCGCCGCCGCCGUGGGCUCCGGAGGAUCUCCGGGUGUUCGUCUUUUAGCCCAUCGGUUCUCGAAUGUGACCUGGAGUGCCUCUGAGACGUCACAAAUGACCGCAGGAGGUGGCUUGCACCUUCUGUGGCCAGGAGCUGAAGCAACAAGCAGUGCCUUGCUCAGGAUGUACUGUGAUAGCAUCAGGCUGCCUGCAGCUCCAGCACACCGCCGUGCCUUCCCAGCCCUCGGGAGCAGCAGCGCUGUCGCUAUUCCCAUCACGCUCCACGCAGCCACCAGCCCUGCAUUAUCAGCAGCCGCACACGGUGACCCCACGUGGGCACGAGCCCAGAGCUGCCACCCACACAGCGGGCACAGCACUGCAUGUGGGGCUCCAGGCGCUGCCCUUUGGAAAGAGCAGCAUCCCAGCACACCUACAGCAUCCCGCACGCGGCUGGCUGGAGCAGGACGCACACGCAUGCACGCACAUGUACACACGCUGACACAUACGUGCACAGCCAUGCACACACCACCCACGCUCGCCGCUCCCAGCCGAGUGCCCUGA
rnacentral:lncRNA from 1 species